GAUGAACGCUGGCGGCGUGCUUAACACAUGCAAGUCGAACGGUGAAGGCGGAGCUUGCUCUGCUGGAUCAGUGGCGAACGGGUGAGUAACACGUGAGCAAUCUGCCCCUGACUCUGGGAUAAGCGCUGGAAACGGCGUCUAAUACUGGAUACGAGCUGCGAAGGCAUCUUCAGCAGCUGGAAAGAACUUCGGUCAGGGAUGAGCUCGCGGCCUAUCAGCUUGUUGGUGAGGUAACGGCUCACCAAGGCGUCGACGGGUAGCCGGCCUGAGAGGGUGACCGGCCACACUGGGACUGAGGCACGGCCCAGACUGCUACGGGAGGCAACAGUGGGGAAUAUGACACAAUGGGCGAAAGCCUGAUGCAGCAACGCCGCGUGAGGGACGACGGCCUUUGGGUUGUAAACCUCUUUUAGCAGGGAAGAAGCGAAAGUGACGGUACCUGCAGAAAAAGCGCCGGCUAACUACGUG
rnacentral:rRNA from 1 species